CCUAAUAUGUACUUAAAUAUUUGAGUGAAUGACUGAGUGGGUGAAUGAAUGGUAAAAAGGAUGCAGAAUACAGACUUAAAAAUUCUUUAAAAAUAUUUUUAUGUGGCAAACUAUAAAUAAAAUUAAAAACUAUAAACAAAAAAUAAGAUUCCCUACUUUAACCAUCUUUAAUUGUACCAUUUGGCAUUAAUUAUAUCCACAUUGCUGUGCAACCACCACCAGUACUUAUUUUUAGACCCUCACAUCCUGGAAUGAAACUCUGUACCCAUUAAACAAUGACUCUCCGUUCCUACCUCCCCACUGAGUAUAAAGUUUUAAAGAGAAAACUCUAAUUUUCCAAACCAUUAUGUUGGGGAGGAAUUUGGUUUGGAGACGCAUGGAGGUCAGACUACAAGGUGAGGAAGGAAUUCAUUAAGCGAGAGCAGCUGCCUUGCAGGUAGCAGCAGAGCAAGGAAGAACAGAGAGAGGAAAGGGAAGCUCAUUGGAUGCCUGCUUGGCAUUGGGCACAUCCCUUGCCAACUCCUAAAGCCAGGGUCUCCUGGCAUCCAGUGUCUGCUUGAAUCUGCGUGGUGUGGGAACUGAGUCCCUACCACCGCAGGAUUUGAGGGAGCCACAGAGCACUAGAUGGAGUGAGAUUAUGUUUGAGAAAUUCCCAAAGACAAAGGAAGGAGAUUUUCAGGCAGGCUACCAGAGAGUACGACUGUACAGCUGCAGUUCUGUCUGGGUCACCCAGGCAACUGGAACUUGCAAGCCCAAAUCAGAGCUCUCAGCAGCCCCUCCCUACUUAUCUGAAGUAAGACAGAGACAGAGUGAAGACUUGUGUUUAAACCUGGAGUAUAGAAUGAAAUAGCAAAGUAACAAAGACACUUAUCACUGGAAGAGCACAGAGACAAAAUGUAGUAAGUUGAGCAGUGAGAAGUUUUUAUUUAAGGCAAAAAGGUACACACUCAAAGAAAGGGUAGUGAGGGCAAACUGAGAGAAGAGGUGCCUCUAAGGGUUUCGGGUCUGGGAUUUUUUUGGGCUUUGUGGGUAGGAGUCAGCAUAAGGCAUGAUGUAUGCAGGUAUUUAUAAUUCCUUUGAAGUUUCAUUUUAAGAGUAGGGUUAUUUAAGUGACUAUGUUGGUCUGUCUCCUGCCCUGGUUACAAAGUUACUUGAUAAGGGGCUGGAAGAAGAGGAAAAAUCACAUAUAGGUUAAAUUAAAGAAUAAGCUGGGCCUUUUUGCAGGCUAAGUAGAUUUUACAAUGGCGUGAUCUGAUCAGUACAAUGAAGACAUGGACUGCGCUUGGAUACUUUGCUUUAUCUGGGGAAUAUCUGGACUUCCUGAGUGCUCCCAGCCUUGGAACUUUAAUUGAUUAACUCCUUAACUCUGUGAGUCCUUUCUGGCUCUCUGUUCUAUCUGGUUAACUCUUGAGCCCCAUUUAGUGGUCUCCACUGGCCUUAUUCUCCCUCUACCUGCUCAUAUCUGUUUUUCUGCCUAACAAUUACGCAGCGUAGGAGGAAGUGAAGGCCCUUGAUGAAUAGAGAAUCCUUCCAGGUAGCAGGCUUUUCAUUCUACCUGAAACCCCCCAUAGAACAACAUAGGAAAUA